UGGGGAAUCUUGGACAUUGGGCGCAAGCCUGACCCAGCAACGCCGCGUGAGGGAAGAAGGUCUUCGGGUUGUAAACCUCUGUCCUUGGGGACGAAAAAAAUGACGGUACCCAAGGAGGAAGCUCCGGCUAACUACGUGCCAGCAGCCGCGGUAAUACGUAGGGAGCGAGCGUUGUCCGGAAUUACUGGGCGUAAAGGGUGCGUAGGCGGCUUGGCAAGUCAGAUGUGAAAUCCCCGGGCUUAACUCGGGAGUUGCAUUUGAAACUGCUAGGCUUGAGUGCAGGAGAGGAAAGCGGAAUUCCUAGUGUAGCGGUGAAAUGCGUAGAUAUUAGGAGGAACACCAGUGGCGAAGGCGGCUUUCUGGACUGUAACUGACGCUGAGGCACGAAAGCGUGGGGAGCAAACA
rnacentral:rRNA from 1 species